rnacentral:sRNA from 1 species
GCAGCUGCUCAUUCACCUGUUUAUGAUUGCCCCGCUUAGCGGAGAAGAGCUCAUAAAGCCCGAAUGACGCACCAAACGGAGCCUGCCGUCCAACUGACCGAUAAUCGCUUGCGUUAUCAAACACCGGACGUAACGUUGAGUAAGGCUCCACCCAUUUUUACGCGAUGCAUCACGCGUCGUGCCAGCGGCAGGCCAUUGAGCCUGCCGUUUUCUU